rnacentral:rRNA from 1 species
UACGUAGGCAGCGAGCGUUGUUCGGAAUUACUGGGCGUAAAGCGCACGCAGGCGGCUCGAUAAAUUAGAAGUGAAAGCCCCGGGCUUAACCUGGGAAUUGCUUUUAAGACUGUCGGGCUAGAAUCCAGAAGAGGGUAGUGGAAUUCCGAGUGUAGAGGUGAAAUUCGUAGAUAUUCGGAAGAACACCAGUGGCGAAGGCGACUACCUGGUCUGGCAUUGACGCUCAUGUGCGAAAGCGUGGGGAGCAAACAGG